UACGUAGGGUGCGAGCGUUAAUCGGAAUUACUGGGCGUAAAGCGUGCGCAGGCGGUUCGUUGUGUCGGCGGUGAAAGCCCCGGGCUUAACCUGGGAAUGGCCGUUGAAACUGGCGAACUGGAGUGUGGCAGAGGGGGGUGGAAUUCCGCGUGUAGCAGUGAAAUGCGUAGAUAUGCGGAGGAACACCGAUGGCGAAGGCAAUCCCCUGGACCUGUACUGACGCUCAUGCACGAAAGCGUGGGAAGCAAACAGG
rnacentral:rRNA from 1 species